rnacentral:lncRNA from 10 species
GUCCAGGCCAGUGCUUAAGCCAAUGGAGAAGGGAGGAGGUAAGGAAGUUGGAGUCAAAGAGGCAGUCUUGGGGCCCUUGUGAAUUGAUGAAUAUGAAGACACUAAGAAAGCAGAAAUAGAACUGAGAAGAAUGAAAUAACUGUCUCUACCUUUCUCGAAUUGUCUAAUAUGGAAAGAAUGAAAGACAGCUAAUAAGCAACUCUCUGCAAGAAGACAUAUGGCUUAGAAUCUACUUGGAGAGAGUCAAACACAGAAUCCCUUUGAAUUUAAUGGCCAUUCCAGGUGAUUUGAACAGCCAAAUAAGAAACAGGUCCUCUUCAAUGUACAAUCUGCCAAGUAUGAAGUCUGAAUGACCAUCAUUAUUAUGUAUUUAAUGUGCAUAGAAAAUCUAUCUGCAACCUUCCAGAGUGUACCAGAAGUUUGGAAUGUACAUUAUUAUUGGCUCCAUCUCAAACCACUCAUAAAUCAAAGAAAAUAGCAGUUCCAGAGGAAUCAUCAUAGAGGCUUCUAGGCCCCCAUGCUGUGUGAACCUGGUGAGAAAGGGAAGUCUGCUCUCACUGGACACUGGAACUGUUUGUCUCUGUCUCUGCUGUACUUUCCCUGCCUCUACCUCACUUAGUAAAGAAAUCAUCUUUGCUUGAUAACUAAAACAACCAAUAAGGCUGAGAAAGGGGAAAACCCACAUCUGGAUUUAAAUACAAGGUAUUGGGCCAGCUGCUGGGGAUUAAACUUUGAACAAAACAGAUAGAAUCUAUGUCCUCAUGGGAGUGGCUAAUGGGAGAGUCGGAACAAAAAAAUAGCCAAGGAUAAUCCAGCAAAUGAUUUGGUGAAUGCUAUCAAAGAGAGAAAUACACAUGCUCUGGGAACACCAAGUAGGUACCUAAUACCUAACCUGUACCUGGGGGGCUGGAAAGGGCUUCUUGGAAGAGGCAGAGACUAAAAUGAAGAAUAAGCAUAAGUUAAGACAAAGCUGGGGUGGGGUCAGAAAGAGUGUGAUAGGCCAACGCAGCAACAUGAGCCAAGACUCAAAAAUAAGAGACAGUGUGGCACAUUUGAUGUAGGAAAGACAUUUAGCUGGGAUAGAAAGAAGGCUAGUGUUGGGGCUGAAUGAGGUUGCAUAAAAGUUUGUAAGCCAAGUUAAGGAAUUGAUCAAAUUUAUAUUUUAGAAUGAUCACUCUGACCUCAGCAUUACAUGACCUGAAGGGGUUAAGCCCAUACAUCUGUAGAGAGACCCGUUAGAAUAGGACUGCAGUAAUAUGGUGAGAGACACUGGUGCCUAACUAGGCUGGUGAUCAUAGAGAUAAAGGGAUAUAUGGGAGAGGUAGAGCCGACAGCCAUUGAUAACUGGUGGUCGGCCAGGUCAAGGGGACAGUGUCUGCUUUAGGUAAUUGGCUUGAUGAUAAUCUCAUUUUCAAAGAUCAGGAACACAGGCCUGAGAGUACAUUUGGAGAGGAAGAUGAUUCGGGUUUGCAUCAUGUAGGGUUCGAGGUGUCUAUGGGACACUAUAUGCAGAAGUCCAGUAGGCAAUUGGUUCUGUGGGCCUAGCACUCAGAGGAGAGUGCGAGUCUAAUGACAGAAAAUUGGCAGUCACCAUCGUGUAGAUGGUAAUGGAUGGUAUGAUUUGGGGUGAUUGCUGAGGCAGGAACAUGGGCACAAUGCUGAGGAGUGCAAAUGGCUAAGGGAUGGGACACAGCAGGAACCUGCAAAGGAGCCCAGAAAACAAGAAAUAGGGAGAAAGCCUGGGAACACUGUGAUUCUACGGAAUCACAGAAUUGAAGACAAACAAUGUGAAACUAAGUACAGGCCCAUUUACUAACAUAUGUGUGUGUAUAUAUAUAUAUAUAUAUAUAUAUAUACACACACACACAUAUAUAUACUUAUAUAUAUAUACACACACAUAUAUAUACUUAUAUAUAUAUACACUUAUAUAUAUAUACUUAUAUAUACUUAUAUAUAUAUACACUUAUAUAUAUAUACUUAUAUAUACUUAUAUAUAUAUACACUUAUAUAUAUAUACUUAUAUAUACUUAUAUAUAUAUAUAUAAAAUUUAUUUAUUUAUUUUUAUUUUAUUUUAUUUAUUUAUUUUUGAGACAGAGUCUCCCUCUCUGACCCAGGCUGGAGUGCCGUGGUAUGAUCUCGGCUCACUGCAACUUCUGCCUCCCAGCUUCAAGCAAUUCUCCUGUCUUAGCUUCCCAAGUAGCUGGGAUUACAGGCGUGCACCACCACACCAGGCUAAUUUUGUAUUUUUAGUAGAGACGGGGUUUUGCCAUGUUGGCCAGGCUGGUCUCGAACCCCUGACCUCAGGUGAUCUGCCCACCUCAACCUCCCAAAGUGCUGGGAUUACAGGUGUGAGCCACUGCAUCUGGCCUCAUAUAUUUUACUAUAACAAAUCAGUGUAGGCCAAAUAAAGUUAGAAAUGGAAGCUAAUGGAAAUAAAGAAUAGGCUUUCCUGUUAGUAUCUAUAGGUGUGUGUGUGUGUGUUCGUUAUUUAGGGAAAGAAACAGGGAACUUGGGGCAUAUAAUAUUUAUGUUCCCUUAGCUUAGGCAUAUAUGGUAUAUUUAGUUACUUAAUUAAUUUUUUAUUUAGAAGUUAUGUAUAGAGCAUUUUUCCUAGGCCAGUGGGGGAUUAAACCAGAAAUAUAAGAAGUGUCUGCCUUCUGGAAGCUUGUGAUCUAGUUAGGGGUAUCACAAGUGCACAGCGUUCACCAGUGGCAGAGAAGCAUGUGAUGAGUACCCAGAGCUUAUAUUGAGAAUAAGGUAUACAAGAAUUUAGAGGAGGCCAAUGUUGAUUUUCACCAAGAGUAUGGGACAGAGAGACAAGACAGGGUUGGUCAUCUAGUUCUGUGCACUGAAUAUAAUUUUGCAGGUUUAGGAGUGUUUGAAAACUACAAGGAAGAUAGAAUCUUGGUCUUGUUCUCCAGCAUGCCCUUUCUUGAACUCACCAGGGUAAUGCUGCAUCUUUUCAGAAAUGCCUCUGGCUUCUCAAAGCAACUUUCAUCCUGGAGAGGAACAAUUAGUCUUUGUCUUUCAUUAGUAAAAGAUUUAACGGCUCAGAAGGAGAAGCUAGUGGUGACUUUUCAAUCACCCCUUCUACCUCCCAG